GUCCUGCUGCUCACUCUCCAUUAUUGCCGAUGCCUCCCAGGAACCCAGUCGCCCAGACCCACAGACGCUCCUCUCACAGUCUCACUCUUCACUGUAGGUUCAUCCUCCUUAGGCUUUAGCUCGCUCAAUCCUGAGUAUGUGGUGUGAAACUGUGAAUCCCCCAUAAUCUACUGAGGCUGUGUGGUACGAGUAUCGUGUGAAUCGGAGUUGAUUUGAAUGGGCUUUGGAAACAUUUACAUAAGCUGGUCUGCUACAGAGUUCACAGGCGCUGCUCUGUUUUCCAACACCACCACCAGAUCUUCGUGUCACUUCGAUGCUUUUCGUCACCGGGAGCUCCCGGGCUAAUUUCUUCUCUGGUCGGACGGUUCAGCAGCCUUGUUUCGUCUGCACUGCAAAGCUCGGUCGAGUGAUCGAGUCUCAGGGGCAGGGCAGCAGCUCCAGCGGCCGACUGCUCUCUCCCUCGAUUGUCAGCUCAUCUCAUUUGCAGUCAGAUCCUGUGCUGAUCGGUGAGAACAGAGAAUUACUUGGAGCUACCGACAGUCGCUUCAACAUCAGUGAGGUCAUUUCGUGCAUACACGCGUGAGGCCUUUGUCUACCAAGCUAUUCUCUGACUCUGUUGAUCUGCUCUGCGUUGGUGUUGGAACCUCAGUCUUCGCAUCUGAUAUAGGGCUUCAUGUUCGGAUUUAUCCUGUGGCCGCCCUGCUGCUCCCGGAUAUGAUUAGUCUCCAGGCUGCCUAAGGCAAUGACUUGCAUGCCAUCUGGUGUUUGUCGUUAAUUACGCCACCCUGCCACCAUUUCUUGCCUUGCUUGCUUUGUCCUGGGGUUCAAAUUUAGGGGGACAUUGGAACCAGGGCAAGCGAUAAGGAGGGAGUGCAAUAGGAAGUGAGCAUGGAGGUCAUCACGGGCACGAUGGGCUCCCUGCUGUCGAAGCUGGGGGACCUGCUCAAGGAGGAGUACAAUCUGCAGAAGAGCGUCAAAGGUGAGAUCAUGUUCCUCAAAGCAGAGUUUGAGAGAAUGCAGGCUGCACUACUCGUGGUCUUCGAAGCACGAUGGAUCAGCAACCUAGCAUCCUUGUCAAGCUUUGGGCAAGGGAUGUCAGGGAACUGUCCUACGACGUCGAAGAUAAGGUUGAUACUUUUAUGAUGCGCAUAGACUGUGGGCCAAAGGAGUUGCAUGGUUUCAGGGGCAUCAUCGACAGAAGCCUCGACCUCUUGACCAAGGCCAAAAUCCGCCACGAAUUAGGUACCGAGAUUAAAGAUCUCCAAAGGAGCAUCAAGGAGGUGAGCGAGCAUCGUGAUAGGUACAUGGUUACUCAGGUUGCUGCCAAGCCUGCAGAUGUACCUGUUCAGAACCUUCGUCUAUUAGCUAUGUACGAAAAGGCAGCUCAGCUCAUUGGCACCGAAGAGAAGAGCAAUGAGCUUAUUGAUAGGCUAAUGGAGGGGGAUUAGGCAAGACGACACUUGCUAAGGUGGUGUAUGACAAGCUUAAAGGGCAAUUUGAUUGCACGGCCUUCGUCUCUGUGUCUGAAAAUCCUAAUAUAGAGAGGAUUUUCAUUAACAUGCUCGGUCAACUAGGCCAUGAUAAAAAUGUAGGAACCUGUGAUACACAACAACUUAUCAAUGAAGUAAGAGCCUUUCUUCAAGGCAAGAGGAAUCUGGUUUUUGUCGAUGAUAUAUGGAAAACUUCUGUGUGGAAGACAAUCUAAUAUGCUUUAGUUGACAACGAAUGUGGAAGUAUCAUCAUUUCAACAACUCACAAUCUUGAUGUUGCCAAUAAAAUCGGUGGUGUCUAUCAACUACAGCCUCUUUCUCUUGUUGACUCUAGAAAGUUAUUCAACCUUAGAAUAUUUGGUACUGAAGAUAAAAGUCUUUCAAAUAAAUUGGCUGAAGUAUCUACAGAGAUUUUACGAAAAUGUGGAGGUGUACCUCUAGCUAUCAUAACGAUUGCCAGUACGCUGGCUAGUAAAAAGGGAAUGGAAAAUAUACAUCAAUACUGGUCCAAGGUGUGCAAAACACUGGGUUCUGGUCUGGAAGAUAGUCCUGAUGUAGAGGAUAUGAGAAGAAUACUCGCAAUUAGUUAUUAUGACCUGCCCCCAUAUCUGAAAAAUUGCAUGUUGUAUUUAAGUUCAUAUCCAGAAGAUUAUAGGAUAUGCAUAGAAGAAUUAAUAUGGAAAUGGAUGGGUGAAGGGUUCAUCCUCAAAGAACAUGGGAAGUCCUUUUAUGAGGUAGGUGAGGAUUAUAUCGUUGAGCUACUUAACAGAAGUAUGAUUCAAUCAUUUUUUGGUAAUGACCAUGAUAGCAAGAUACCAACUUAUUUUCAAAUUCAUGAUAUGGUACUUGAUCUCAUGACACGCUUGGCAAAUGAGGAUGGUUUCCUGGCAACAACACAUGACCAACAGCCCAGGUGUCUACAAGAAAGGAUACAUCGAUUGUGCAUCCAAACCAGAAAUGAAGAGGAUGUCAAGCACUUAUCAGCUGCAAACUUGUGCCGUCUGUGGUCACUUAUUGCUGAUGUGUACAGUGAAGAGGAUGUCAAGCUCUUAUCAGCUGUUGCUAAAGCAUUUAAUUGGUUGCCACCCCUUUCAACCUUUCGAGUCUUACGUGUACUGUGUUUAUGUGGCUGUGAACGAGUGGACGAUGGCUGCUUCAAGGAAAUAUGCAAUUUGAUUCACCUUAGAUAUUUGGGACUAAGACAGACACGCAUCACUGAGAUUCCAAAAGAGAUCCAGAAGCUACAGCUUUUACAGGUUCUAGACAUAACUGGUACUGAAAUACACGAGCUGCCAUCAACCUUUGUUCUACUAAGAAAAUUGGUGUGCUUGUGUGCCGACCCUCUGAAUAAAGUACCGGCUGGGUUCGGCAACCUCAAGUCGCUGCAACAGUUGUAUGUUCCUCCUAUCUAUGUGGAGUCCCCAUCCAUGCUGAAUAACUUCUCUGGGCUGACUGAACUGAGGCGUGUGGCAUUCUGUUUCAACGAAUGGGACGAGAGCUACGCCAAGCCUUUCCUCCAGUGUCUAUCCAGCUUGGUCAGUCUCGAGUAUCUAGAAAUAGAUGGUCCCAAAAAAGCAUGUGACUUCAGUUGUUCCCCAUGUGGCAGGCUAAUAAUUCCUACGGGACCACAACAGCUUCAGAAAAUAUUAAUGAUUCAUAUAACCGUGCAUACAGUGUCCGCACUCUGUUCCUUGAGCAUCCUACAUAUCCGCUUAUUAAUGCUGUGAGAGGAGGGACUUCAUGCCCUUGGGAGCA